AUCCGGAGGGUGCAAGCGUUACUCGGAAUCACUGGGCGUAAAGGAUGCGUAGGCGGAUAAUCAAGUCAAAAGUGAAAUCCUACAGCUUAACUGUAGAACUGCUUUCGAAACUGGUUAUCUAGAAUAUGGAAGAGGCAGAUGGAAUUAGUGGUGUAGGGGUAAAAUCCGUAGAGAUCACUAGGAAUACCGAUUGCGAAGGCGAUCUGCUGGGACAUUAUUGACGCUGAGGCAUGAAAGCGUGGGGAGCAAACAGGAUUAGAAACCCUAGUAGUCC
rnacentral:rRNA from 1 species